UACGAAGGGGGCUAGCGUUGUUCGGAAUUACUGGGCGUAAAGCGCGCGUAGGCGGUGAUCUUUGUCAGAGGUGAAAGCCCGGGGCUCAACUCCGGAAUUGCCUUUGAAACGGGAUCGCUUGAGUCCGAGAGAGGAUGGCGGAAUUCCUAGUGUAGAGGUGAAAUUCGUAGAUAUUAGGAAGAACACCGGUGGCGAAGGCGGCCAUCUGGCUCGGUACUGACGCUCAGGCGCGAAAGCGUGGGGAGCAAACAGGG
rnacentral:rRNA from 1 species